CUCUCUCUCUUUGAAAUGACCUGUGAUUGGCCAAGUCUCCCCUCAAGGGUAGAUUUACUAAAGCCUGAAUACAUAACCAAGGAGGAGGAGCAAUAGUCUAGUUUUCUUUCAAACAACUUGAAUUACAAUAUGCUGAAAUAUUAUUAUGGAAUUUUUGCCCAAUAACGCCAAAAAUA